rnacentral:rRNA from 1 species
CAGCCGCCGCGGGAAUACGAAGGGGGCUAGCGUUGUUCGGAAUCACUGGGCGUAAAGCGCACGUAGGCGGACUUUUAAGUCAGGGGUGAAAUCCCAAGGCUCAACCUUGGAACUGCCUUUGAUACUGGAAGUCUUGUGUUCAGGAGAGGUGAGUGGAACUGCGAGUGCAGAGGUGAAAUUCGUAGAUAUUCGCAAGAACACCAGUGGCGAAGGCGGCUCACUGGCCCGAUACUGACGCUGAGGUGCGAAAGCGUGGGGAGCAAACAGGAUUAGAUACCCGUGUAGUCCCUGUCUCUUAUAC